GUAGUGGCUCAGUGGUAGAGAACUUGCUUGGAAUGUGUGAGGCACUGGGUUCAAUUCUCAGCACCACA
rnacentral:tRNA from 1 species